GUGUCGCAGAGGCAGAACUGUCUGAGGAAAAACGAUGCAUCACUGACACGCUCCAUUAACAUGUUGGAAGGGUGAGGUAACCUCUCGGUGACUCACGAGUCCGCAAAGAAGUAGAUCAACCAUUCCAAAAUCUCCAUUGGAAGAACAAGACUGGGAUGGACUACAAGGCCAUGAUUGGUGCAAUAAUUCACAAGAUAAGUCCGUUGUUCCCACUCUGGAUCAUUGUGCAAGAUUUCACCAAGUGGGGUAACAACGAUUAAGAUGACAAAGGAAUAAGCUCAGUCUUUUGGACCAUCCCGUGUGUUCCCAAGAUCUAAAUCCAACUGGGAACAUUUUGGGAAUGGAUGUCGAGGGAAGUUUACAAAACCGGGCGUUAUUUCCAGACAGUCCAUGCCCUUUGUGAAA